AUUGAACGCUGGCGGCAUGCCUUACACAUGCAAGUCGAACGGCAGCGGACCUUCGGGUGCCGGCGAGUGGCGAACGGGUGAGUAGUGUAUCGGAACGUACCUUUCAGUGGGGGAUAACGUAGCGAAAGUUACGCUAAUACCGCAUAUUCUGUGAGCAGGAAAGCAGGGGAUCGCAAGACCUUGCGCUGAUUGAGCCGCCGAGAUCAGAUUAGCUAGUUGGUGAGGUAAAGGCUCACCAGGGCGACGAUCUGUAGCGGGUCUGAGAGGAUGAUCCGCCACACUGGAACUGAGACACGGUCCAGACUCCUACGGGAGGCAGCAGUGGGGAAUUUUGGACAAUGGGGGCAACCCUGAUCCAGCCAUGCCGCGUGAGUGAAGAAGGCCUUCGGGUUGUAAAGCUCUUUCGUCCGGGAAGAAAUCGCAUCAGCUAAUACCUGGUGUGGAUGACGGUACCGGAAUAAGAAGCACCGGCUAACUACGUGCCAGCAGCCGCAGUAAGAC
rnacentral:rRNA from 1 species